GGUAUCGACGCAGAUUACUUGGGGUGAAUCGGCUGAAGAAGAGAGAACGGAAAGAGAAGGGUGAUAAAGAACGGCAACGCCCCGCGAACGGGUCGUGCCGGGGGAAGAAAGAACUUUGUACAUUGACUUGUUGUUAUCGUGGCGAUUUUCAUCGUCGAUCCAUCGUUCAAACUCUGUUUGACUUGUGGCAUGAGUUUCUUGCAGGCACACGAUCAUGGGCGAGAAACAAGAAAGCCAGGAAAAUAAUACGGACCUCUGUUGCGAAUUGCGGAGGCCUUGGCAAUUCAAUGUAAUAAUAGUAAUUGGUGAUGAUGAAUAAGUCAUUGUGAAAAGGUUAGAGGCAAGCAAAAUUCAAAAAGGAAAAGAAAGAAAGAAAGAAAAA